rnacentral:scRNA from 1 species
GGGGAUAUGGUUCAGUCGUAGAGCAUUGCCUCAAGGAUUCCAAGUCAGGGGUUUGAUUUUUAGCAUUGGAAAAAA